rnacentral:misc_RNA from 1 species
GAAAUGCGAUAAGUAAUGUGAAUUGCAGAAUUCAGUGAAUCAUCGAAUCUUUGAACGCACAUUGCGCCCGCCAGUAUUCUGGCGGGCAUGCCUGUUCGAGCGUCAUUUCAACCAUCAAGCCCCGCGCUUGUGUUGGGGACCUGCGGCUGCCGCGGGCCCUGAAAACCAGUGGCGGGCUCGCUGUCACACCGGGCGUAGUAGAUUUUAUCUCGCUCAGGGCGUGCUGCGGGUUCCGGCCGUUAAAAAGCCUUUUUUACCCAAGGUUGACCUCGGAUCAGGUAGGAAGACCCGCUGAACUUAAGC